rnacentral:lncRNA from 1 species
AGGCUACCCUGCCAGGUGGAGGUCACGAGUGUCUCUACCACUAUCUUGUGCCCAGUUUAUCUGUAGAGUUGACUCCCCUACUCUCCUCACAGAAAAACUGAGGCUCAGGGGAAGUUGCAUGGCUUGCCCAUCAGGGAUCGGUAGCUUCCAGAAAGCUUUAUAAUCCCCACUGACUGGCCCAGCUCUGUGCCUCAGCUAGAAUGUAGCAGAACCCUGCCUCAUCGGGAAGCCCAAGGAGUGAGCAGAGCCCUGCUAUUCCAGUAUUUCCUCCUGAGGCUACAGUUCCAGCACUCCAGGAGGAAGGAUGAUGUCUGGAGAGGCACAAAGGCGUUUUCUGUUCUGGGUAAUUUUAUGUUCAGGUAACAAGUCACUGUCAACCCCAGUUGCCCGCCAUGCUGAAGACCUCUGGGCCUCGGUCCUACUUUCUAUCUGCACUUGGACCUUCGUGAGAUAUCCAUCUUCCUAGGUCAAAGGGCAGCUAAACAGAAACAACGAAGCCUCAGGUAGCCUUGUGACAGUUUCCACUCGGGACAUUAACCUCAUCAGCAGAUCACCCAAGAGGCAGCCGACUGAAGAGGCACGGAAUUCUUACAACAUGGAAAGCGUGUUUAUUAUUCUUUUACUUGACAAGGAACCAGAGGCUACAGGUGCCAGAUGCCCCGGCUAUAGUGAGAACACAGAUCACAACCACGUCUGUCUUGUUUGCUGCUUGUGCCUGGUCCACCAAAUAGCAGAUACUCAGGAUACAUGUUCUGAAUGAGUAGGGCAUCCAUACAGGCUGGAAGCUGGGACUCACAGCGUGGGUCUUGUUUGGAUUGGGGGGGGGAGGGUACAGUGAGAGUCAGGAUGAGAAACAUGAGGCACCUAACCAGAGGCAGAUGGUUGCCAAUCUACAAGCUGGCCAGAGUCCUGUGGGGCAUUGCUCUGCCAUAGGCUGUGCGCUUGGCUGAGUUGAGGGCUUUAAAGGAAAGAAAUCAAGAUGGUGUGUUUGCUUACCAAACAUUUACUUACCUUGUGUCUGUCCUGUUUGUAGCUCCGUGAAGGCCAUUAUGAGGCUCUGGAGGGGGCCCCGUGGCUAGCAUGGAUCUCCAGGAGGGCCUCGGGUUAGACUGGGAAGGCUUCGGC